rnacentral:lncRNA from 1 species
CUGGGGGUAGGCUACUCCAGGACAGUUUUGAGAACCACUGCGCUAGACUGAAGUCAGUGAUUAUGUUCUUUGCUCGCUUUCUGUAUAUCCAACUGAGCUGCCAACCUAGGCUGUGCUUUGAGGCAUCAUAAGCACAUUCCCGACACCAGGAACUGACUUCCCAAAGACAUUUCAUG